GACGAACGCUGGCGGCGUGCUUAAUACAUGCAAGUCGAACGGAAAGGCCCUGCUUUUGUGGGGUGCUCGAUUGGCGAACGGGUGAGUAACACAUGAGUAACCUCCCCCUGUCUUUCGGGUAACUUCAGGAAACUGGGGCUAAUAUCGGAUAUGAGCUCCUGCUGCAUGGUGGGGGAUGGAAAGUGUCGGCGGUUGGGGAUGGACUCGCGGGUUAUCAGCUUGUUAGGGGGGUAGUGGAUUACGAAGGCUGUGACGGAUAGCCGGCCUGAGAGGGUGGCCGGGGACAAUAGUACUACGAGACGGAGCAGACGGCUACGGUAGGCAGCAGUGGAAAACAUUGCGCAAUAGGCGGAAGUGAGAUACAGCGGCGCCGCGUGCGGAAUGACCGCCUUCGAGUUAUAAACAGCUGUCGCCGGAGACGUGCACGGAGUGACGGUAAUGAGUAAGAAAGCAACGGCUAACUACGUG
rnacentral:rRNA from 1 species